GACGUAGGGCGCGAGCGUUGUCCGGAUUUAUUGGGCGUAAAGAGCUCGUAGGCGGCUUGUCGCGUCGUCCGUGAAAACCUGCAGCUCAACUGCAGGCUUGCGGUCGAUACGGGCAGGCUGGAGUUCGGUAGGGGAGACUGGAAUUCCUGGUGUAGCGGUGAAAUGCGCAGAUAUCAGGAGGAACACCAGUGGCGAAGGCGGCUCACUGGCCCGGUACUGACGCUGAGGUGCGAAAGCGUGGGGAGCAAACAGG
rnacentral:rRNA from 1 species